rnacentral:tRNA from 1 species
GUUUAAAUAAAACAUUACAUUUUCAUUGUAAUAAUAAAAAAAAUUUUUUUUUAUAAAUA